rnacentral:sRNA from 1 species
UUGGUAAGCAAAACAUUAUGGUGCCAGGGAAUCAGCAAACACAAAUUGGGUAAAGAGUAAUGAUGUCAUAUUCUCGCUUUUCAGGAAUAGUGGGUGAAUCUUCAUUCUCCACAUGUUGCUACAUAACAACUAAUUCCAGGUGUAUUCAUUUCUUAACAAAUUUCAGGACCUUUACUUCAUAACUUCUGUCUAUAUGCUGCAGAACCCAGCACUUGGCUAUGCUCUGAGCUUGCUUGCAACUUAUGAUGAAGAACUCUUCUUCAGCAAGAUUUGAAAAAAGGAAAGGCUAUGGAAGCUCAUGUGAGUCCAGAUAUGAUGAUGGAACUCCCCAUGAGGAAAGGGUCGGAUCAGUCGUCUCCGUGACCUCAGCCCUCCAAUGACUGGAUGGAUGAGGACGGUAAAUGUCUGCUCUAAACCAGACAGCUAGACAUACACCUGUGUAGAAGAAAACCACCAGGAGGUGAAGAGCAGCUCAGGCUAGACAAGAGGAAGGUGUAUAUCUAAACAAUUGCUCUGUGUCAUCUCAAAUGAAUGAGGUCAUGCUGUGAAUGGCAGCUGCAGGACCUGGCCUGACUGACAUACAAUUGUAUAAAUGUGUGCAUUUGUCUCCUUAUCCUUUUUGUAUAGUUUACAAAAGUAUUAAUAUAGUUUUAAUAAGUAAA